GAGAGGAAGACACAGAAUCCAAGCAGGCUCCAGGCUUUGAGCUGUCAGCACAGAGCCCGACAUGGGGUUCGAACCCACAAACUGUGAGAUCAUGACCUGUGCCGAAGUCAGGAUCUCAACUGAAUGAGCUACCCAGGUGCCCUGAGAAUUCCCUUUUUCAUGGCAGGUCUUUAUGUUAGUAACAAAUUGUGCUGAAGGCUUGGGGAGUUGGAGAGAGUUUACUUUGUACAAACCCAACAUGCUCAAAUUGAAUAUUAGACAUCCCUGUUCUUGGAAAUCAUUUUGGCUCCUCUGUAAUGGCACCUUUUUCUUGGCACUUCAUCCUAUUUAGCACCCUGGCAUCCAGCCACAUCACUGAUUUUCUUUCCCUUCUCAUCUCCGUACUCACAUUCUCUCCUUGGUAUACUCUAAGUUUUGUCUUGUUUUGUUUAAGGUAUUCAGCUGAGCAAAGGGCAGAAGGGUCACCAUCACAAGUCCUGAGAAUUUCUUUAAUGGGACCCACUCUCCUCAGGUUUUGAAAAGCAUCUAUCUCAAGGGAAUAGCUCUCUCUCGAGGAUGACUGCCAUCUACAUGUCUAUCCCCCAGACCGAGCUUCAGGGAGAGGGGGAACCACAGGUCCGGCUGUGACAGCUAGCUCCUGGGAAUGGUUAUGACAAAGCAUUAGAGGGCCCAGAAACUUCUAAUGGGAUCAGUUGUGGAAAAGACAAAGCUGGGGGAAUAGACAAAGCCCUGGCCAGGGCACUUGUGGCAAAAGUUGUAUUCUUCAAGAAGAGAAAGGUUAGGAGUUCUUGGUGGACUUCAUAUUGCUGUGGAUGUGAACCCAGGAGGGAGGAGGCAGAGAUAACACCAAGGUUCCAUACCCUGGUCCCCUGAUGGGUCUGGGCACAGCCGGGAAGGGCACUCAGCCAGCCCCCGUGGCAGUGGCUGCACCUGGAGAUCUUAUCUGGGCUGGCUGAUGUGUGGUACUGAGUCAUGGAACCUGCGGCCUAGGAAACAGUUCUAGUGUUGAAAUGGGCCCAGGGGAGGGGGUGGAGUGGGUGUCUCUAGUUUGCCACCAGCACAGACAUCAUCACCACUCACACUUCCUGUCAUCCCUGGGUCACAUUCAUGGUCACCACUCAUCUCCGACCCUGUCACUCAUUUGUCACCCUCACCAUCAUCCCUGCAUCACAACCACUGGCCCUUUCUUAACCAUGGUGUCACUUGACCCAGUUCCCAUCACUGUGUUACCUUCCUCAGCAUGCCACCAUCCCUGUCCCAGCCCCAUGCCCAAGGCUGUCAUUAUCUGAGCCUGCCCUGUCUUCUUUAUCAACUACCUCUACCCCAACCCUGUCACUGGCUAGUUCCACUCCCACCUUGAUGUCACCACCUGUCCCUGUCAUCCUCAUCACCUUGGUCACCAUACCCCUCACCCCCUGUCCCAGUCUCCAUCAUCUUUAAGUCCUCUGGACUGUCAUCAGCUUCCACCAUCCCCUCUGUUGAUUCACCAGCACUGCCCAUCUCUGCUUCCCCCCUCACUAUCAUCAACAUCCUCCUUAUCUCCAGCCACUCAUAUAGGUCUCCAAAUGGGCUUUUCCCUGUGGUGUAGACGUCCUCCACAUGUGUGCACCUCAGAGCCUGUACUCCUGCCUUUCCAGCCUCUGGCCUCCACUGGGCUUCCUUACCUGGAGUUGCCACAUUCUUUGCCUUCACACUCUGCCCUGGCACUCUGCUUCCUUUCACCCCUAUGUUAGCUGGACUCUGGGGCUAGGCACUUAUUCCCAGGCUUUUGAAAGAGUACUCGGUGGAGGCCUUGCCAGGAAGCCCUGAAUCCUCUCUACCUGCACCUAUGACGUUCGGGCAGUGCUUCCAUCCAGCCUGGAUCUAAAAUCUCCAUUUAUUAAAUUGACUAACAUUUCCCUUUUUAGAAUUCCUUGAAGUCCCCUCAGACUAUUACCUCUCCCUUAUGAUACACUUUCACGGCCCCCAGUACUUUGACAUGUAAUACUUAUGAUCCACUACUUAUUCAUAUAGUCAUGUGUUUCAGACCAUCUUGCCCACCAGACAGGACACUCUGGGAAGGCAGUAACUGUGUUUAUCUCGGCCACUGCCAGGUCUCCAGAGCCUGGCACAGUGCCUGGCUUCUUGUAGGGGCUCAGUGAAUGUCAAGUGAAUAAAUACUACUUAUUGAGCACUUAAUAGUGCCAGACACUGUGGUGAGUGCUGUACACCUAUUAACUUGGUUAUUCCUUGUCAUAUUAUGGUAUCCCUUUUUAUUUUAUUUACUUUUGAGCAUUGCAAGGGCUUUUUAGCUGAUUUGGCACAAGUGCUUUUGACAAAGUUCACGAACAGAAGCACAUUUCCAAUUACUCAUCAGAAAGUGAGGACACUUAAGAGAAAGCCAGUUACUCAUAGAACAAGGAAAAACACUUUCUUGUAAUUAGGGCAAAGAGAAUUACAGCUUGUAAUGUCACCUCUUGAUUUCAUCUUUAUUAUCUCUGAGGGAAGUAGAAGAAGCUGGGGGCUAGGAUUGGGGGUGAGAGGGAUACCUGAAGAAGAUCCGUUCUCAUCUCUGGAAAGCAAAAAUUAGAUCCUCACCUUACACCAUAAAACUGAUGGUUUUAAGAGAUAAAUAUAUAAAGGGUUAAAAUAAAGCUGCAGACUUCAAGCUGUAUUACAAAGCUGUAAUCAUCAAGACAGUAUGGUACUGGCACAAAAACAGACACUCAGAUCAAUGGAACAGAAUAGAGAACCCACAAAUGGACCCACAAACGUUUGGCCAACUAAUCUUUGACAAAGCAGGAAAGAAUAUCCAAUGGAAUAAAGACAGUCUGUUCAGCAAGUGGUGCUGGGAAAACUGGACAGCGACAUGCAGAAGAAUGAACCUGGACCACUUUCUUACACCAUACACAAAAAUAAAAUCAAAAUGGAUGAAAGACCUCAAUGUAAGACAGGAAGCCAUCAAAAUCCUCAAGAAGAAGGCAGGCAAAAACCUCUUUGAUCUUGGCCGCAGCAACUUCUUACUCAAUAUGUCUUCAGAGGCAAGGGAAGCAAAAGUAAAAAUGAACUACUGGGACAUCAUUAAAAUAAAAAGCUUCUGCACAGGGAAGGAAACAAUCAGCAAAACUAAAAGGCAACUGACAGGAUGGGAGAAGAUAUUUGCAAACGACAUAUCAGAUAAAGAGUUAGUAUCCAAAAUCUAUAAAGAACUUAUCAAACUCAACACCCAAAAACCAAAUAAUCCAAGUGAAGAAAUGGGCAAAAGACAUGAAUAGGCACUUCUCCAAAGAAGACAUCCAGAUAGCCAACUGACACAUGAAAAAAUGCUCAACAUCACUUAUCAUCAGGGAAAUACAAAUCAAAACCACAAUGAGAUAUCACCUCACACCUGUCAGAAUGGCUAACAUUAACAACUCAGGUAACAAUAGAUGUUGGCGAGGAUGUGGAGAGAGAGGCUCUCUUUUGCAGUGCUGGUGGGAAUGCAAACUGGUGCAGCCACUCUGGAAAAGAGUGUAGAGUUUCCUCAAAAAAUUAAAAAUAGAACUACUCUAUGACCCAGCAAUUGCAUUACUAGGAAUUUAUCCAAGGGAUUCAGGUAUGCUGGUUCGAAGGGGCACAUGCACCCCAAUGUUUAUAGCAGCUAUCAACAAUAGCCAAAGUCUGGAAAGAGGCCAAAUGUCCAUUGAUGGAUGAAUGGAUAAAGAAGAUGUGGUAUAUACACACACACACACACACACACACACACACACACACUAUGGAGUAUUACUUGGCAAUCAAAAAGAAUGAAAUCUUGCCAUUUGCAACUACAUGCAUGGAACUAGAGGUUAUUAUGCUAAGUGAAAUUAGUCAGAGAAAGACAAAUAUCAUGUGACUUCACUCAUAUGAGGACUUCAAGAUACAAAACAGAUGAACAUAAGGGAAGGGAAGGAAAAAUAAUAUAUAAAUAGGGAGGGGGACGAAACAUAAGAGACUUUUAACUAUGCAGAAUAAACAGGGUUACUGGAGGGGGUUAUGGGCUAAAUGGGUAAGGGGCAUUACGGAAUCUACUCCUGAAAUCAUUGUUGCACUAUAUGCUAACUUGGAUAUAAAUUAAAAAAUAAUAAUAAUAAAUAAAUAAAAAUAAA